rnacentral:rRNA from 1 species
GAUGAACGCUGGCGGCGUGCCUAAUACAUGCAAGUCGAGCGAACAGACGAGGCGUUUGCUGCUCUGACGUUAGCGGCGGACGGGUGAGUAACACGUGGAUAACCCACCUAUAAGACUGAGAUAACUUCGGGAAACCGGAGCUAAUACCGGAUAAUAUAUUGAACCGCAUGGUUCAAUAGAGAAAGACGGUUUUGCUGGCACUUAUAGAUGGAUACGCGCCGCAUUAGCUAGUUGGUAAGUUAACGGGUUACUAAGGCAAGGAUGCGUAACCGACCGGAGAGGGGGAUCGGCGACACUGGAGCUGAGACAGGGUCCAGACGCCUGAGGUAGGCAGCAGUAGGGAAUCUGCGGCAAUGGGCGGAAACAUGGCGGAGUGGCGGGGCGUGAGUGAUGAAGGUCUUGGGAGCGUAAAGCUCUGUUAUGAGGGAAAAACAAAUGUGGACUGAAACAAGGACGGAUUGACGGUACUGAAUCAGAAAGCCACGGCUAACUACGUG